UCAGAUCGGGAUACUCAUCAAAUAAAAUCGAAAACAGAGACUACUUCUCAUACCAAUGGCGGGCCACGAUUUUCCUUCCGGAAAAGCUGUAAAGCCGGUGGAUUACAAAGGUGGAGAACCCUCAAAUCUUACAUGUAAGGAGUUUUCAUCACAUCAUCGGUACGACCUUUUU
rnacentral:sRNA from 1 species